GCGUGGGUCGGGAAACCGGCUCGCGUCCUUUUAUCACAAACUCUUGUAUGUCUUCAGAAUGUAAAUCUUUGAUGUCGAUAAAACGCAUCUAAUACAACUUUCAACAACGGAUCUCUUGGCUCUCGCAUCGAUGAAGAACGCAGCGAAAUGCGAUAAGUAAUGUGAAUUGCAGAAUUCAGUGAAUCAUCGAAUCUUUGAACGCACCUUGCGCCCUUUGGUAUUCCGAAGGGCACACCUGUUUGAGUGUCGUGAAAUUCUCAACCCUCCCCACUUUCGCGAGUGGCGGUCAGGGCUUGGACUUGGAGGCCUUGCCGGACUUUGUCUUCGGCUCCUCUCAAAUGCAUUAGUGCGUCCUGUUGCGAUGUUACCUUCGGUGUGAUAAUCAUCUACGCCGUGUCAGCGUGCGUCGCUUCUCUGGGGACAUGCUUCAAACCGUCCGAGAGGACAAUUCAUCGAAACUUGACCUCAAAUCAGGUGGGACUACCCGCUGAACUUAAGCAUAUCAAUAAGCGGAGGA
rnacentral:rRNA from 1 species